UCAGGGCGUGGUGGCACAUGCCUGUAAUCCCAGAUACUCGGGAGGCUGAGGUGGGACAAUCGCUUGAACCCGGGAGGUAGAGGUUGCGGUGAGCCGAGAUCGUGCCAUUGCAUUCCUACUUGGGCAAUGAGAGAGAAACUCUCUCCAAAAAAAAAAAAAAAAAAAAANNNNNNNNNNUUUUUUUUUUUUUUUUUUUUUGGAGAGAGUUUCUCUCUCAUUGCCCAAGUAGGAAUGCAAUGGCACGAUCUCGGCUCACCGCAACCUCUACCUCCCGGGUUCAAGCGAUUCUCCUGCCUCAGC
rfam:Chlorocebus sabaeus isolate 1994-021 chromosome 20, whole genome shotgun sequence.